ACAGCUAUAAAAAGAGGUUCAUCAAGGAAAGUUACCCACCUGGCUUUCUCUCAUUCAGAUAUGCAUAAAAGGAAAACUCAAAAUACAAGAAUCCCAAGUUCCCCUGCUUUGAUGUCCAGCUUCAGCCGACACUGGAGUCUUUUGCUCGACAUGGUCUUACCAUCAUUCUUUAACUCUUCAUUGUUUCCAAGUUGGUGAGCUACAGGCACUUAUGAAACUUGCUGCUAAAUAUGUCUGCACUAAUUGAUGUCACAUUAAAAGUGGUUUCCUCCGGCCUCUUUCUUUUGAUUUCCCCUGUGUUCCUUGGAGGUGUUUGAUGUUAAAGGCGGGAUUUAUGGGUCAAAGCACACCAAUGUAAAGGUUCUGUUUUUAAUAAGAUGUAGAUUCUAAACAGUCUGGCCUCUAAUAGUUCCGACAGUCUACAACUCCAGGUUAAAGGAAUGCAGCAGCAGCAUAAUUGCUGAUGAAAGAUUUAAAUGAUUGGUAGCUACUCAUCGCCUAGGACACCCAAGCCAUGGUCCAUCAAAAUGGGAAGCUGUGCAGGUGUGCUGGUCCCGGAAGGUUACCGUGUGGCGUGGUCCGAGUCCAGUCCGAGGUCGAGGGUGUGGUAUGGGGCUGUCCGUCAAGGCUGAAGCGGGGUCCAAGGCAAGGAGUCGGGUGAGGUCAGGAACUCUGGCAGAAGAGCAGGGCAGGGUGCCAGCAGGAACAGGUUACCAGCAAUGUUGCUUCCACAACCUGGGACUGGGCUGGCUGGCUUUUAUCUCCUCUGAGGCAUAGGGCAGCCCUGGUCCAUAGGUGACUCGCCUCUCCUGGCCUGGAGGCAAGCACUCCUCCUGCGAGAACUUAGUUCCCUCCGCCUCUCUGCCCUGAGCCUCUGUAGCUCAGGAGAGGCUGGAGGGUUACCGGACCCAGAGGCAACCUCACCUUCCCCUGACGGGGCUGAGAGUGGAGCACCUGCAGGCAAUGGGUCCUCAAUCACCUCCAGAGCCAGAGCAGAUUCAGCUGGUGCCUGCACCUGAGGAUCCAGCUCAGGUGAGGGCCCUUCAGGUUCAAGCCCCAGCCCCGGCUCAGCCGGUCCUGGAGGCGGGGACUCCUGUGCAGGCUGGGAUUCCUCAGGUUCAGCCUCUGAAUCUGAUUCCCAGGCCAUCACAGCAGGCACAGAACCUCAGCUCUGUUUCCCUAUUGCAUGUUGAUAGCAGCAUCUGGGCUUGAGGAGGCAUGUGGACCUCACCUGUCCUGAGACUAAUCCAGCUGAGGAAUCACACACCUCCUUCCAGAUCCAACCAGCCCCACCUGGCCAGUUAGUGAGCUGGGCUGUGUGCCCUUGCCUGUCUCAGCUUCCUAGAGUGUUCCUCCCAUUCCUCCCUAUGCCUUGGAGCCUGCUGUGUUUGUGGAGAUGGGGACACCUCCAGCUCUGGUACUGGGUCCCGCUUCUCUGGUGCCUGUGCACUGAUCCCCUUGCCAUCCUCUGACAUCCUGUGAGUACUUUCUAUGCCCCCAACCUCUUCCUCCUCCAUUCGCAGCUUGUUCUAAUGUGUACCAGUGGAGAUGGCAGUACUGAAUCGGUAGCUCGUGUCCUUCUGGCUUGCACUCUUUAUAAAGAUUUGAAGAGUGAGGUUAUCACCCCUCCAUUCCAGGUCGCCCAACCAUUGUUACAGUGUCCUUUCUCUUGGCAGAUCAAGAUGAGCAAGUGAAAGCAAAGGUUGCAAGGUUUUUAGUCGGGGCAAUUAGAAUAAGCUCCAUUAUUUGACUAUUGAUCCAAACCCCCAAAAUGUAUUUUAUAUAAUUGACUUUUUACCUUUAACCUCUGUAUACCACAUUUUGUUUGUUUUAUUGCUAUGGCUGGUGGCUGAUGCAAAUAAAGGUUCAUUCGUUCA